rnacentral:ncRNA from 1 species
CCUGCCGGAGAGGCUUCGCAUAAGCGGGGCGCCGAAGGCGCAAACACUGCUCUGAAACGCUCAGGCAAAAGGACGGCAGC